UCACGUCCUCUUGAACUCUCUCUUCAAAGUUCUUUUCAACUUUCCCUUACGGUACUUGUUGACUAUCGGUCUCGUGCCAGUAUUUAACCUUAGAUGGAGUUUACCACCAGCUUUGGGCUGCAUUCCCAAGCAACCCGACUCCAAGAAGACCUGGUCCCGGCGCGCCGGGGGCCGCUACCGGCCUCACACCGUCCACAGGCUGUGCCUCGAUCAGAAGGACUUGGGCCCCCGAGAGCGGCACCGGGGAGUGGGUCUUCUGUACGCCACAUUUCCCGCGCCCCACUGCGGGACGGGGAUUCGGCGCUGGGCUCUUCCCUGUUC